rnacentral:rRNA from 1 species
CUCAGGACGAACGCUGGCGGCGUGCUUAACACAUGCAAGUCGAACGGUAAGGCCCUUCGGGGUACACGAGUGGCGAACGGGUGAGUAACACGUGGGUAAUCUGCCCUGCACAUCGGGAUAAGCCUGGGAAACUGGGUCUAAUACCGAAUAGGACCACAGAACACAUGUCCUGUGGUGGAAAGCUUUUGCGGUGUGGGAUGGGCCCGCGGCCUAUCAGCUUGUUGGUGGGGUGAUGGCCUACCAAGGCGACGACGGGGUAGCCGGCCUGAGAGGGUGUCCGGCCACACUGGGACUGAGAUACGGCCCAG